AUUGAACGCUGGCGGCAGGCCUAACACAUGCAAGUCGAACGGUAACAGGAAGAAGCUUGCUUCUUUGCUGACGAGUGGCGGACGGGUGAGUAAUGUCUGGGAAACUGCCUGAUGGAGGGGGAUAACUACUGGAAACGGUAGCUAAUACCGCAUAACGUCGCAAGACCAAAGAGGGGGACCUUCGGGCCUCUUGCCAUCGGAUGUGCCCAGAUGGGAUUAGCUAGUAGGUGGGGUAACGGCUCACCUAGGCGACGAUCCCUAGCUGGUCUGAGAGGAUGACCAGCCACACUGGAACUGAGACACGGUCCAGACUCCUACGGGAGGCAGCAGUGGGGAAUAUUGCACAAUGGGCGCAAGCCUGAUGCAGCCAUGCCGCGUGUAUGAAGAAGGCCUUCGGGUUGUAAAGUACUUUCAGCGGGGAGGAAGGGAGUAAAGUUAAUACCUUGGCUCAUUGACGUUACCCGCAGAGGAAGCACCGGCUAACUCCGUG
rnacentral:rRNA from 1 species